AAGCGAUGGAUAUAGAUCUAGCAGCAUAAACAAUGAAUAUAGAACUAGCAGCAUCAACCAUGAAUAUAGAACUAGCAGCAUCAACCAUGAAUAUAGAACUAGCAGCAUCAACCAUGAAUAUAGACCUAGCAGCAUCAACCAUGAAUAUAGAACUAGCAGCAUCAACCAUGAAUAUAGAACUAGCAGCAUCAACCWUGAAUAUAGAACUAGCAGCAUNCAMCCAUGMAUAUAGAACUAGCAACAUCAACCAUGMAUAUAGAACUAGCAGCAUNCAMCCAUGAAUAUAGAACUAGCARCAUCAMCCAUGAAUAUAGAACUAGCAGCAUCAACCAUNGAAUAUAGAACUAGCAGCAUCAACCAUGAAUAUAGAACUAGCAACAUCAACCAUGAAUAUAGAACUAGCAGCAUCAACCCUGAAUAUAGAACUAGCAGCAUCAACCAUGAAUAUAGAACUAGCAGCAUCAACCUUGAAUAUAGAACUAGCAGCAUCAACCAUGAAUAUAGAACUAGCAGCAUCAACCUUGAAUAUAGAACUAGCAGCAUCAACCAUNAAUAUAGAACUAGCAGCAUCAACCAUGAAUAUAGAACUAGCAGCAUCAACCAUGAAUAUAGAACUAGCAGCAUCAACCAUGAAUAUAGAACUAGCAGCAUCAACCAUGAAUAUAGAMCUAGCAGCAUCAACCAUGAAUAUAGRACUAGCAGCAUCAACCAUGAAUAUAGAMCUAGCAGCAUCAACCCUGRAUAUAGUAUCAGUCUUGAUUGCAACGUCAGUCUUGAAUACAGCCAGCCAUGCAUACGGAACCAGUCUUGAAUAUUAAGUACACCGAACCGCAAAA
rnacentral:sRNA from 1 species